GACGAACGCUGGCGGCGUGCUUAACACAUGCAAGUCGAACGAUGAAGCCGGAGCUUGCUCUGGUGAAUUAGUGGCGAACGGGUGAGUAACACGUGAGUAACCUGCCCUUGACUCUGGGAUAACUGCGGGAAACUGUAGCUAAUACCGGAUACGACCCUCGGAGGCAUCUCCUGGGGGUGGAAAGAAUUUCGGUCAAGGAUGGACUCGCGGCCUAUCAGCUAGUUGGUGAGGUAAAUGCUCACCAAGGCGACGACGGGUAGCUGGCCUGAGAGGGUGACCGGCCACACUGGGACUGAGACACGGCCCAGACUCCUACGGGAGGCAGCAGUGAGGAAUAUUGCACAAUGGGCGCAAGCCUGAUGCAGCACCGCCGCGUGAGGGAUGACGGCCUUCGGGUUGUAAACCUCUUUUAGCAGGGAAGAAGCGAAAGUGACGGUACCUGCAGAAAAAGCACCGGCUAACUACGUGCCAGCCGCCGCCGCUG
rnacentral:rRNA from 1 species